UUAUUGGAGAGUUUGAUCCUGGCUCAGGAUGAACGCUGGCGGCGUGCCUAAUACAUGCAAGUCGAGCGAAUGGAUUGAGAGCUUGCUCUCAUGAAGUUAGCGGCGGACGGGUGAGUAACACGUGGGUAACCUGCCCAUAAGACUGGGAUAACUCCGGGAAACCGGGGCUAAUACCGGAUAACAUUUUGAACUGCAUGGUUCGAAAUUGAAAGGCGGCUUCGGCUGUCACUUAUGGAUGGACCCGCGUCGCAUUAGCUAGUUGGUGAGGUAACGGCUCACCAAGGCAACGAUGCGUAGCCGACCUGAGAGGGUGAUCGGCCACACUGGGACUGAGACA
rnacentral:rRNA from 1 species